CCGUGCGCUGGAUUAUGACUG
rnacentral:sRNA from 1 species